rnacentral:rRNA from 1 species
AAUCCAUAGGUUAAUGAGGCGAACCGGGGGAACUGAAACAUCUAAGUACCCCGAGGAAAAGAAAUCAACCGAGAUUCCCCCAGUAGCGGCGAGCGAACGGGGAGGAGCCCAGAGCCUGAAUCAGCAUGUGUGUUAGUGGAAGCGUCUGGAAAGGCGCGCGAUACAGGGUGACAGCCCCGUACACAAAAGCGCAUGUGUUGUGAGCUCGAUGAGUAGGGCGGGACACGUGGUAUCCUGUCUGAAUAUGGGGGGACCAUCCUCCAAGGCUAAAUACUCCUGACUGACCGAUAGUGAACCAGUACCGUGAGGGAAAGGCGAAAAGAACCCCGGCGAGGGGAGUGAAAAAGAACCUGAAACCGUGUACGUACAAGCAGUGGGAGCACAGGUUUACCUGUGUGACUGCGUACCUUUUGUAUAAUGGGUCAGCGACUUAUAUUCUGUAGCAAGGUUAACCGUAUAGGGGAGCCGGAGGGAAACCGAGUCUUAAUUGGGCGUUAAGUUGCAGGGUAUAGACCCGAAACCCGGUGAUCUAGCCAUGGGCAGGUUGAAGGUUGGGUAACACUAACUGGAGGACCGAACCGACUAAUGUUGAAAAAUUAGCGGAUGACCUGUGGCUGGGGGUGAAAGGCCAAUCAAACCGGGAGAUAGCUGGUUCUCCCCGAAAGCUAUUUAGGUAGCGCCUCGUGAAUUCAUCUCCGGGGGUAGAGCACUGUUUCGGCUAGGGGGCCAUCCCGGCUUACCAACCCGAUGCAAACUGCGAAUACCGGAGAAUGUUAUCACGGGAGACACACGGCGGGUGCUAACGUCCGUCGUGAAGAGGGAAACAACCCAGACCGCCAGCUAAGGUCCCAAAGUCAUGGUUAAGUGGGAAACGAUGUGGGAAGGCCCAGACAGCCAGGAUGUUGGCUUAGAAGCAGCCAUCAUUUAAAGAAAGCGUAAUAGCUCACUGGUCGAGUCGGCCUGCGCGGAAGAUGUAACGGGGCUAAACCAUGCACCGAAGCUGCGGCAGCGACACUGUGUGUUGUUGGGUAGGGGAGCGUUCUGUAAGCCUGUGAAGGUGUGUCGUGAGGCAUGCUGGAGGUAUCAGAAGUGCGAAUGCUGACAUAAGUAACGAUAAAGCGGGUGAAAAGCCCGCUCGCCGGAAGACCAAGGGUUCCUGUCCAACGUUAAUCGGGGCAGGGUGAGUCGACCCCUAAGGCGAGGCCGAAAGGCGUAGUCGAUGGGAAACGGGUUAAUAUUCCCGUACUUGGUGUUACUGCGAAGGGGGGACGGAGAAGGCUAUGUUGGCCGGGCGACGGUUGUCCCGGUUUAAGCGUGUAGGUGUGUGUUCCAGGUAAAUCCGGUU